rnacentral:miRNA from 1 species
CUGUUCCGUCGCCCCUGCGAAGGCAGGGGCCGCUAUCGAUGUUGCGCGAGACCUCCUGCGGCCCCUGCCUUCGCAGGGGCGACGCUCAAA